GGGGACGACAUGGCUUCGACGCCGAUUACAAAACCUGAGGUGCAUGUCGAGGUGCAGUGACCUCGUUAAUCACUCUGCAAAAUCUAUAGUUGCCAACGACGACAACUACGCACUCGCUGCUUAAACCCCAGUAGGGUGCCAUCUGACUAGAGCCGUGUCUGUGCGUCUAGGUUUCAGGUGUCAUAUCUCACAGAAUCGCGUGCGGGUCAGUCUGGUACCUAAGCGCUAAAACCUUACAGACUCGCUGCUAGUUUGCCCUGUGUGCCGGGUUGCUGUCAGUUAAAAUAAAAGGUGCAAUAAGCAUGUAGAGCCGAUGGCGGAGGAUUGACGGACGCGGGUUCGAUUCCCGCCGUCUCCACCA
rnacentral:tmRNA from 1 species